rnacentral:rRNA from 1 species
AACGCUAGCUACAGGCUUAACACAUGCAAGUCGAGGGGAAACGACAUUGGAAGCUUGCUUCCGAUAGGCGUCGACCGGCGCACGGGUGAGUAACGCGUAUCCAACCUGCCCACCACUUGGGGAUAACCUUGCGAAAGUAAGACUAAUACCCAAUGACGUCUCUGGAAGACAUCUGAAAGAGAUUAAAGAUUUAUCGGUGAUGGAUGGGGAUGCGUCUGAUUAGCUUGUUGGCGGGGUAACGGCCCACCAAGGCGACGAUCAGUAGGGGUUCUGAGAGGAAGGUCCCCCACAUUGGAACUGAGACACGGUCCAAACUCCUACGGGAGGCAGCAGUGAGGAAUAUUGGUCAAUGGGCGAGAGCCUGAACCAGCCAAGUAGCGUGCAGGAUGACGGCCCUAUGGGUUGUAAACUGCUUUUAUAAGGGAAUAAAGUGAGUCUCGUGAGACUUUUUGCAUGUACCUUAUGAAUAAGGACCGGCUAAUUCCGUGCCAGCAGCCGCGGUAAUACGGAAGGUCCGGGCGUUAUCCGGAUUUAUUGGGUUUAAAGGGAGCGUAGGCCGGAGAUUAAGCGUGUUGUGAAAUGUAGACGCUCAACGUCUGCACUGCAGCGCGAACUGGUUUUCUUGAGUACGCACAAAGUGGGCGGAAUUCGUGGUGUAGCGGUGAAAUGCUUAGAUAUCACGAAGAACUCCGAUUG